rnacentral:lncRNA from 1 species
UUCGUUGCGGCAUGUGGGACGCUGCCUCAGCGUGGUUUGAUAAGCAGUGCCAUGUCCGCGCCAGGAUUCGAACCAACGAAACGCUGGGCCGCCUGCAGCGGAGCGCGCGAACUUAACCACUCGGCCACGGGGCCAGCCCCGUGUGGAAAAUUUUUGAUCAUGAUUAAUUGAAUAGCAAUAUGUAUGAUCAAGUCAGGCACAAGGAUGGAAGGCUAGUUAGACGUCUUUUAUAACAGCUUAAGGGAAAGGAAAGGGAGGAAACUAGGGCAAUUGCAGUUGGAGUGGGGUGAAGAGGAUGGACCUAAGAGCUGUUCUGCAGAUAAGGAAAAUGAGACCCAGAGAGGCUGGAGAUCAUGGCCUUGCUCUUCCGUGCCAAGUUGCUGGACUCAUCUCCUCAGAGUGCUUCCUUUGAACUUCUUUAAUGCCACUUGACCAGACUUCACGUUGGGCUAUACUCAUGAGAUUUCCCUCCAGAAAUAGCCAAGGUUUGAAAUGAAACAAACCGUUUUUCAAGAUCAUCAAAAUAUUCUCAGAAAUAAACUGAAUGAAAUAUAUGGAUUUUUAAUUCCAAGGUCUGCACUCGAAGGGAGAGGCUGGCUUUCCAUGCAAAUAGUGCUCUCACAAACAUGGUGAACGUUCCUAAAACCCGCUGAAACUUGCCGCACUUUCUGUAAGAAGUGUGGCACAUACCGACCCCACAAAGUGACACAGUACAAGCCGGGCAAGCAUUCUCUGUGAG